GGUGCUGAAGCAACAAAUGCCCUGCUUCCAGGAAAAGCCUCUAAGCAUCAGGUAACAUCAAAUCGUACCCCAAACCGACACAGGUGGUCAGGUAGAGAAUACCAAGGCGCUUGAGAGAACUCGGGUGAAGGAACUAGGCAAAAUGGUGCCGUAACUUCGGGAGAAGGCACGCUGAUAUGUAGGUGAAGUCCCUCGCGGAUGGAGCUGAAAUCAGUCGAAGAUACCAGCUGGCUGCAACUGUUUAUUAAAAACACAGCACUGUGCAAACACGAAAGUGGACGUAUACGGUGUGACGCCUGCCCGGUGCCGGAAGGUUAAUUGAUGGGGUUAGCCGCAAGGCGAAGCUCUUGAUCGAAGCCCCGGUAAACGGCGGCCGUAACUAUAACGGUCCUAAGGUAGCGAAAUUCCUUGUCGGGUAAGUUCCGACCUGCACGAAUGGCGUAAUGAUGGCCAGGCUGUCUCCACCCGAGACUCAGUGAAAUUGAACUCGCUGUGAAGAUGCAGUGUACCCGCGGCAAGACGGAAAGACCCCGUGAACCUUUACUAUAGCUUGACACUGAACAUUGAGCCUUGAUGUGUAGGAUAGGUGGGAGGCUUGGAAGUGUGGACGCCAGUCUGCAUGGAGCCGACCUUGAAAUACCACCCUUUAAUGUUUGAUGUUCUAACGUUGACCCGUAAUCCGGGUUGCGGACAGUGUCUGGUGGGUAGUUUGACUGGGGCGGUCUCCUCCUAAAGAGUAACGGAGGAGCACGAAGGUUGGCUAAUCCUGGUCGGACAUCAGGAGGUUAGUGCAAUGGCAUAAGCCAGCUUGACUGCGAGCGUGACGGCGCGAGCAGGUGCGAAAGCAGGUCAUAGUGAUCCGGUGGUUCUGAAUGGAAGGGCCAUCGCUCAACGGAUAAAAGGUACUCCGGGGAUAACAGGCUGAUACCGCCCAAGAGUUCAUAUCGACGGCGGUGUUUGGCACCUCGAUGUCGGCUCAUCACAUCCUGGGGCUGAAGUAGGUCCCAAGGGUAUGGCUGUUCGCCAUUUAAAGUGGUACGCGAGCUGGGUUUAGAACGUCGUGAGACAGUUCGGUCCCUAUCUGCCGUGGGCGCUGGAGAACUGAGGGGGGCUGCUCCUAGUACGAGAGGACCGGAGUGGACGCAUCACUGGUGUUCGGGUUGUCAUGCCAAUGGCACUGCCCGGUAGCUAAAUGCGGAAGAGAUAAGUGCUGAAAGCAUCUAAGCACGAAACUUGCCCCGAGAUGAGUUCUCCCUGACUCCUUGAGAGUCCUGAAGGAACGUUGAAGACGACGACGUUGAUAGGCCGGGUGUGUAAGCGCAGCGAUGCGUUGAGCUAACCGGUACUAAUGAACCGUGAGGCUUAACCUU
rnacentral:rRNA from 1 species